rnacentral:rRNA from 1 species
GAUGAACGCUGGCGGCGUGCCUAAUAUAUGCAAGUCGAGCGAACAGACGAGGAGCUUGCUCCUCUGACGUUAGCGGCGGACGGGUGAGUAACACGUGGAUAACCUACCUAUAAGACUGGGAUAACUUCGGGAAACCGGAGCUAAUACCGGAUAACAUGUUGAACCGCAUGGUUCAACAGUGAAAGACGGUUUUGCUGUCACUUAUAGAUGGAUCCGCGCCGCAUUAGCUAGUUGGUAAGGUAACGGCUUACCAAGGCAACGAUGCGUAGCCGACCUGAGAGGGUGAUCGGCCACACUGGAACUGAGACACGGUCCAGACUCCUACGGGAGGCAGCAGUAGGGAAUCUUCCGCAAUGGGCGAAAGCCUGACGGAGCAACGCCGCGUGAGUGAAGAAGGUCUUCGGAUCGUAAAACUCUGUUAUUAGGGAAGAACAAAUGUGUAAGUAACUAUGCACGUCUUGACGGUACCUAAUCAGAAAGCCACGGCUAACUACGUG